GAAAUGUUUCUCAAAAGCGAAGAUGUGUUCAAGCUUUCCAUUUAUCCUCCAUUCUUGUGAGACUGCAGUGUUUUAAGCUCUUUCUAAGAUGGACAUCGAAGAGGCACUGGUUGAAUGGCAAAGGGAAUUAAUAGUUUUUUUUAAUGAUUGGAAGAUGGAGCAUGCUGUAUCCAAAGCAGAUGGGCGUUGAAUUCACUGUUGAGAAAAGCAUUUUCUGUCGUGCUAUUGCCAAGGCCACAAAGACGAUGAAGCAAAGCUAAAAAAAUCUUCUUACUGUCGAGACACAAUGUAAAGCAGAAGAAUGUGGCGGAUGACUCUAUAGCAUUAGAAGGAGGACUAGUCCUGCCGAUGUCAUGGCCAGUUGAUCAAGCUAAUUCUAGAAGCAACUACUCUAGUACUGAUCUAGCAAUGCAACUAGCAACAAUGAGUUUUGUGAAUGAUCCUAGAAGAAGGUAAAAUAAUAUUACGUGAAAGUUGAAACUAAGGUGUUCAUUUUUCUCUUCAACAGGAACCAUAUGAGUUAUGAGGUGGGGGACGAAUCAUCGGGGCAGGAAUCGCUUUUAAGUUUUUAACAUAUCAUAUGAACCAGUUUCCAAGCACAUAAUGUGUAUGGUGUUACUAGCAACUAUAUACUUAACAGCAUAGUCCACAUGUUGGAACAUCUA